AAACCAUACAGUUAGCCAUUGUUAACAGCUAACGUUACAAGCUAGGUUGCGUUACCUAGAUAACAUCUAUAAGCCAAGUCCGGUCUCCAACGCAAAUGAAAGACUACCUGGGACAAGUUUUAUGGCGAACGACGAGCAAAUGGUGUGUUGCCGCCACCAACUGGACGGAGGUGGGGAAAAAAUCAAAUAAAUGUGAAUUCAAUUUUGGUGAAGGGAAAUGUUUUUAUCCGUUAUUUUACCAGGUGCCAAUCUUUGAGGCAUUGGAAAACCUCCCAGGUCCUCUCCUGUGUCUGCACCUCAUAGUUCCCCUGGGAAACCUGUAAGGGAGAGGGAUAUGGACAGACAGGAGAGGCUAAUCUGAGGGACAGUUCCAAGGGGCAAGAAAUUAAAUGAACACCAUGCAAGAGGCUACAUAGAAUUGGUGGGUGUCCUUUCCUCACUGAGUUGGUUCCCUCUUCCAGCAGUCAGGUUGUAGUCUCUUCUGCUCCUCUUCUGUUUGUUUGCUUCAAUGGUGUACAUCCUCCUCUCAUCUUCUUCCUCAAUAUCACAAGGAAGCAAUGGUGUGUCAUGUUAAUCACUCUAUUAUUGAUCUACUGGUGUCAUGUGACAAAAUUUUUAAAUUGUGUUGAAAUGUAAUUAUAAUCCCUCAAAGUUUACUGUAAUUAAGCAAUAAGGCAUGAGGGGGUGUGGUAUAUGGCCAAUAUACCAAGGUUAAGGGCUGUUCUAAUGUACGGCGCAAUGUGGAGUGCCUGGAUACAGCCCUUAGCCGUGGUAUAUUGGCCAUAUACCACAAACCCCAGAGGUGACU